AAGAUUGAUUGAACUCUUCAAUUUUUUUAUCUGCUGGAAAAUAGUCCUAGACUAUUCUUUACAGCCUUUAUUUGUUGUUUUUCUGAUUUCAUCCAACUCCCAUCUUCUAUUCUGUACCUGUUUAUCUCCGUGUGACUGGACUCAAUGCAUAUGAUGUAAUAGGAGUAUAGUGUGUUUUGAGAUAUCAUAAUUUUUUGUUUUGGUAGUUUCUGAGUCAAGCUCUUUUCUUAUGUGUUAUGCUAACGUGUGUCAGGAUUGAAUUUGUGUUUUUCUUUAGGAUAGCAGUGAUGUCUUUUAGGAGUGGCUUAAGAACAAUUCAAGGGAAGACAUUAGGUGAAGAUCUUAGAAUCUUGGACACUUGAGCAGCUUGUGUUCCACCAGCCUCUUUUGUUGCAUAUUAUGUUUAAUGCAUUUGUGUUUUCAUUUUUUUUUCCCUCACCCUGCUUGUCCGUAGAGAUUUGAUCCUGCAUUAUGUUUUCUGCAAAUUUAUCAUGAUCUUGCAUGUCACAACCCAUUUUAAUUGCGAAUUUUUGUCCCUUUUUCAGGUCUCUCGUUUGUCAAAGAAAAA
rnacentral:misc_RNA from 1 species